rnacentral:lncRNA from 1 species
CUUGAACGUGUCUGCUCCCCUGCAGGUUCCUUCUCUUUAAACCAGGAAGGAGAGGGGCUCCUUGGUGGCUCAAUGGAUUAAACAUCCAACUCUUGAUUUCAGCUCAGGUCAUGAUCUCAGGGUUGUGAGAUGGAGCCUCGCAUUGGGCUCUGCACUCAGCAGGGAGUCUGCUUGAGAUUCUCUCUCUCUCUCCCUCUGCCCCUACUUACCCCCCUCAAAAAAAUGUAUAAAACAGGGACACCUGGGUGGCUCAGCCAGUUAAGCAGGUACCUUCGGCUUAGGUCCUGAUCCUAAGGUCCUGGGAUCGAGCCCCCCAUCGGGCUCCUUGCUCAGCAGGGAGCCUGCUACUCCCCCUGCCUGUGCUCACUCUCUCUCUGUGAUUAAAAAACUCUCUCUGUGAUUAAAAAAAAUUUAAAUUAAAAGAAUAACAAAUUUUUAAAAAUGUAUAAAACAGGGAGGAGAAUUCCUACUUCAUGGAGUUGUUUCUGGGCUGCCAACUUGCAAGCCCGGGGAGUUACUAUUCAUGACUUGGGGACCCUGAAUUUUGCUGGGUGAACUAAGAGAGAUGGUGUAGGGAGAGCAGCUGACAAAGAGUCCACCCUCGAUGUGAGUGAGUCCAUUCCUCUCCCUUUUCCCUGUAGGAACUGCUUCCCUAUAUCCAGGACUUACCCUGUGCCCGUGUGGUACAGGUGUUAACCAUCCCAUCCAGAAGAGGAAACAGAGGCUCAGAGGGUUUAAGUCACUUCCCCCGGGUCACUGUGCGCCCUGGAACCCUGACCGGCUGACUCCAGAGCCCUGGCUCUUAACCUCGGUGCUGCACUGCACCACCGACGGCUGGUUUCCCACACGCUCGUCCCCAUGCUUGUGGAGGAGCUCGGCUACCAGAUGCCUCGGAAGCACCCGCCCCUGCCAGACGUGACCCAGAUCAGCUUUGGGAGAAGCCGCUGCCAGGAACUUGCCUGUCUUCUGCUUCUCUUCCUUCCUCAUUGAUGUCCCACCAAGAGAGCUCAGACGCUCCUUUGGCGGGCCAAUCCCACUGGCACAUUCUGCGAGACAUUCCUGGAAGUUCUGCCUACGUCUGGGAGGGAGAAGGCACAUGUUGCUUCUCUGCACUCGUGGGCAGACACAUGGGCUUCAGCAGAUGGCCACAGAAGCCUCUAGACAUUCCCUUACGACUGUGGGACCUACAGGCCAUCGUGGAGCUCCAGGCAACACGUCUGAUACUGGAAGGGGCUCUGGAAAACACGUACAUUACCUCAUUUGAUUUUCACAGCAACCUUAUGAAGAAGAGGCUGUCCAUAAUCCCACCUUACAGAUAAGUAAGUAGAGGUUAAAUAG